AGUAAUUCGAUUGCCAAUUUGUGUCUUAUAGCUGUAGAGUCCCAAUGGGAAGGGGUUGAACUUGAGUCCAUGAAAUCGGAUCUUCGCAUAUGAUUAAUGACAUGGACUCCACAAUCCCACCUAACAAAUAAAAUGAGUAAACAUUUAUCUAGUUAGUACAUAGAAAUAUUAUCUUGAACACAUUAUAUUUGAAGAAACAAUUAUGCUUGCUUACCCAUUGGCUUGCACAUCUACCCAUGUAGGUCUUUCAAUGGGAACACUUGAUAAAUUCUUUAGA
rnacentral:lncRNA from 1 species